GUGGGGAAUCUUCCGCAAUGGACGAAAGUCUGACGGAGCAACGCCGCGUGAGUGAUGAAGGUCUUCGGAUUGUAAAGCUCUGUUAAUCGGGACGAAAGAGCCUAGUGUGAAUAAUGCUAGGAAGUGACGGUACCGGAAUAGAAAGCCACGGCUAACUACGUGCCAGCAGCCGCGGUAAUACGUAGGUGGCAAGCGUUGUCCGGAAUUAUUGGGCGUAAAGCGCGCGCAGGCGGAUCUGCCAGUCUGUCUUAAAAGUUCGGGGCUUAACCCCGUGAUGGGAUGGAAACUACAGAGCUAGAGUAUCGGAGAGGAAAGUGGAAUUCCUAGUGUAGCGGUGAAAUGCGUAGAUAUUAGGAAGAACACCAGUGGCGAAGGCGACUUUCUGGACGAAAACUGACGCUGAGGCGCGAAAGCCAGGGGAGCGAACGGGAUUAGAUACCCUAGUAGUCC
rnacentral:rRNA from 1 species